rnacentral:rRNA from 1 species
GAUGAACGCUGGCGGCGUGCCUAAUACAUGCAAGUCGAGCGAACAGACGAGGAGCUUGCUCCUCUGACGUUAGCGGCGGACGGGUGAGUAACACGUGGAUAACCUACCUAUAAGACUGGGAUAACUUCGGGAAACCGGAGCUAAUACCGGAUAAUAUAUUGAACCGCAUGGUUCAAUAGUGAAAGACGGUUUUGCUGUCACUUAUAGAUGGAUCCGCGCCGCAUUAGCUAGUUGGUAAGGUAACGGCUUACCAAGGCAACGAUGCGUAGCCGACCUGAGAGGGUGAUCGGCCCCCCUGGAACUGGGACACGGUCCAGACUCCUACGGGAGGCAGCAGUAGGGAAUCUUCCGCAAUGGGCGAAAGCUUGACGGAGCAACGCCGCGUGAGUGAUGAAGGUCUUCGGAUCGUAAAACUCUGUUAUUAGGGAAGAACAAAUGUGUAAGUAACUAUGCACGUCUUGACGGUACCUAAUCAGAAAGCCACGGCUAACUACGUG